CAGGGGUGAGAUCGGGCUUACAGGGGUGGGAUCUGGGGCUCUGGGGUGCUGGGGUGGGAUCUGGGUUACCAGGGGUGAGAUCGGGGGCGCUGGGGUGAGAUCUGGGUUACAGGGGUGAGAUCGGGGGCGCUGGGGUGAGAUCUGGGUUAGGGGGGUGGGAUCUGGGGCUCUGGGGUGAGAUCUGGGGUGCUGGGGUGAGGUCUGGGUUACAGGGGUGAGAUCUGGGUUACAGGGGUGGGAUCUGGGGCGCUGGGGUGAGAUCUGGGGUGCUGGGGUGAGGUCUGGGUUACAGGGGUGAGAUCUGGGGCGCUGGGGCCAGCUGAAGCACGGGAGCAGGGGAAGCCUGCUGCCUUACCUGCCAUGACAGCUGGAGAGUGGCAGUUAGGGGAGCCCCUCCCCCAACGGGGGGUUGCGUGACCGUUGGGGUCAGCCCCUUUCCC
ensembl:lncRNA